UAUUCUUCUUUCCAACCUUAGAAUGUUAAAAUUCCUCAGGAUUGAGUCUUUGCCAUUUUCUUCUUUUUCUUAAUUCAUUGCCUUCUGAUCUGAUCCAGUACUUCCUAUCUAUACACAGAUGUCCCUAAAUUCAUACUUUUACUCAGAGCCUUUACCUUUUUUAUUCAGAGUCCAGACUCAUGUAUCAUCCUACUGGAUGCCACCACCUUGAUUCUACAUAUUCUUAAUGCCAACUAUUCAUAUCUCCGUCCACAAACUUGAAUGAAGAAAUACAGACUUCCAUCUUGGAUUACCACCCUGCCAAAAGUCUGACGAGGGAUUGCAUUAUAUAUUUCCUGCAUCCAAGUGACUCAAUGACCAACCAAUUCUUACUAAAGAAUUUCCCAUCUGGAAUUCAGUUCUCUUCCUCUGGGAGGCUGAGAAUGAAGUACUGGAGGAAGCUCAACAGCUUUUACACUAAUGAAUAUAACUCUUCAUGGAAGCACAAAGAAGGAAUAUGAAGGUUUCCUUCCAAAUAGGUGCCAAAUUGUGGAAGAUAGAAUGAUUUUCUGGCCUCCAGAACCCAGAGAUCAAGUAAAGAUUCAAUGAAUCUGAGCCUAUGAAAUAUAACAGAAGUUAAUGUGGAGGAUUCUAAAUGUUGGAAGUCUUCAAAUACUAGAUUUUUAAAACAUAAUUCUAAAAAUAGACAUGGCUUCCAAAUAACAGAAUUAAUUAUAAAGCUGAAGAACUGAAAUGUUUUUGGAAAGAAAUCAGAAUAGAUGAGGAACAAUGUACCUGGGAAGACAGAUGCUGGAGGAACUAAUCUUGAUGAUCAGUAAUUUCACUUCAGUGCUCUCUGCUGAUUAACAAAGAUUCUUGAACUCACCAGUAUACUGAAGCCUGGAAUAUGGUUUUCUGCCUUUUUGAAUCGUGGAUGUUGGAGGUUGAACCCAGGGCCUCACACUUGCUAUGGGCACAGAAGCUCACAUCCCUGAGGUAAGGUGCAGCAGCAGCUCACAGAGUCGGCACGGAGAGGCAGACACUGCGGAUAUCAUCCAUCUCCCUGACACACGCAGAGCCUCAUUGUGCGGCUGCCAGACGCAGUCGGCUAAGAGGAGAAUGUGGCAGAAUACAGAAGAGGAAGCAAUGCCUGUUGGGCUCAUUAUUGCUCUCAUCUAUGAAUAGCUCCAUAAACAUUAUUCUGAGAUGAAGAGAUGGAGAUUUGGUCCAUGGCCAUCGCAACCAAGACAGCAGUCAAGAAGGUAAGGGAAGGAGGCACAGGGAGCUCGGAGGCUCUCUGUGUGAGUCUGAAGAAAGGACCACGUCUUUUUCAGAGCAACACUAUUGGUGCAGACGCUGAGUCAUCAUUUCAGCUGCCUUCAAGCUUGAUGAUGUUCCAACUUCUCCCAUCCUUCAGUUUCUAAACCAAAAUGACAAAGAGUGCCCUAUAGGGAUGAAGUCAUUGGGAAAAGCAAUUAAAAUGCUCUGUGUGUGUGUGUGUGUGUGUGUGUGUGUGUGUGUGUGUGUGUGUGUAGAGGUGAACUCAGCACAGGACAAGAGACAUUGAGUUACAGCUUCAUCCUUGAAGCCUCCUCUGAAAAGAAAACAAAAAUAAAAUAUGACAAGGAGUCUGAAACAGGCAGAUUCUAUAAGGAUAAAUUGUUUUGCAUAGAUAAACAUAGCAAGACAAGGGGUUAUACAGCCAUUUUACAUUCUGAGACAAAGAAAACUUUAAGCUAGUCUCAAACGAGUUUUUGGAGCUAGGUCAAACCCAUACCUUAACACACUUCUCUGCCAUAGAUGAAAAUUGUAUGAUUUACUGUUAUGCUUUGGGAUGUGUGAUUUGCUCUGUGACCUUGAAAUCUGCAUGAUACUGAUUCUUCUUAAAAGGAUCUCAUUCUAUACAAGGAUCUACACCUCCCCCAUCCACUCUUGGCCUUUUAUUUUAAACAGAACUUCUUUUAAAGAAGAAGACAAUUAGUGUAAAAUCUAUCAGAAGGCGUCUCAACCUGUCCUCCAGUCUCCAGCCAGGAACUCUCUGGAAGGAGGCCAUGUAACUCUCAUUAUUUGUUAGGCCAUGGACUAUUUUUCCAGGCUGUUGUAUAAGGCAAAUCCAUUGCCUCAUUUCUCAUAGCUCUCUACAAAAGAAAAAAGCAGACGGAUCUUCCCAAACUCAGACAGAAUAUUGUGAACAGCCAAGUGGGCUGAAGAAACCUGCUGCCAAAUUGGCUAACACAGCUCCGUGUAUCGUGCUCUUUCCAGAGAUUCAGCUACAACAAAGAGGCUGACCCCCAAUAAAUGCAAGAGAAGGUUCAUAUGCUAUUAUUUAGGUAGAACUGAGACUCUAAAAAGCAAACAAGAAAUGUCUCCAUGAAGCCUGUUCUCCUCAGAAGUAUUGCAGAGAGGGCUAGUGAUCAACAUUAAACAAAAAAUCUGAACCAGAAAAACUUCAUGUCAGAUAGAUAAACACUAAAAUAAUCCAAAUCAUCGCCACAUACAAUAUGAGUUAUUAAUAUACAGAGAAGGUUCAUAGGUCAUGUUCUGCUGCUAAAGAAUAACCAACAUUCCUCACCAGCACAAUAUAAUCAUUAUCCUAAUAAAUAAUUAAUAAUAGCUUCCUGUUAUUGAGUGUCUGUUAUGUUUCUGGACUUUUCACAGCUUGUCUAAUUAUCACUACAACAUUGACAUUAUUCCCUUGAUAUAUGAGAACACUGAAGUCCAGAGAAGUUCAGACACUUGCUUCAGCAAGCAAUGGUCGAUCAAGUCAGUGGUUCAUCUCAGGAUGGGCUGAUUUAAAUGCUUCCUACAGCUCCUCUGCUCCAUGAGUAAUUUAGCACCUCUGAAAUGAACAAUUAUAGAUUUUUCAUCCUCAUUGUUUUCAUCAACACAUACUACAGGUAUGCAGUAAGGAACCUCCAUGACAUAAUACUCAUAUUAUUUUUAGCCCUAGGGAGAAGUAAAAAAAUCUUCCACAUUACCAACACUGUAGGACAAAUUGGAAAAGAACGACCACACUUCAGGUAUUUCUCCUGUCCUAUUGGUAUCCUUGUCCUUUCUAGCAGUUGAACCCCUCCAUUAUCUCAUCUCUGCCCAGCCCAGCUUGCUUGAUCACAAUAUUCCUUAUGUCCGUGCAACAUGAUGUGAAGGCUGACUCCCAUCUGCCCUCUUUCCUCAUAGACCAAUAACAAGGCAUUCAGGCUUUAGGGACCAUAUUCCUGGUGGUUGUAGGGCCACUGGUGGUGGUCAGGAGAUUGGAAACUCUACAGCCUCAAAACACUCCAUCAAGCCAUUCAUCCAGUGGCAUGUCACAUAAUGCUAUACAAUUAAAGACCAUGAAGGUUAAACAUUCUAACCAGACCCAUAUGUCUAACAAUGGUCUUUUACAAACCUCCAUUCUGAGGAACCAUCUGGACAUUCCAGGUGAUCUCCAUGCCUACUGAUGGUAGUUUACUCCAUCAUACAUAAUAGUUUGGACAAUCCAGCUGAGAAUGUAUUUGAUCGCCUCGUUUGUUUUAGCUUCUUUAAGAAGAGAGCCAAAGAUUGACUUCACUUUCGUCAAAAGAAUAUGAAGUUACACAUAAAUAAGAAUGCCCUAGCUCUUCAAGAGUGUUUAGAACUUGUUCCUCAGCAGUGUGAGGAUUCAGAUCCCAAUUGAGACUCUGGAGACUAAUAGAACUCAGAGAAUUAUGCUCAAAUUAUAGUAAGCUAAGUUUCCACUUGGGCUUUCCUGAGGAAAAAUUUUCUAAUGGCAAGAACUGUGUAAGAUUUGGGUGGAUUCUCUGGGUUUCAGAGAGUUGAAUAUUUGUAAAAUCAAAAUUAGACAAGAUCUUAGUAGUUAUCUCUCUGGUACUCUUUUUAUCAUAACAGGAAGAGGGUCAGAAGCUGGCAGCUGGAACACUGCACCUAAGAAUCUUAGGCUUCUGACUCAGAAGGUAGAGCAUUUUCUUUAAAAACAAGCUAAUAUGUUCAAACAGAAACUGGAUGGCUGGAAUGUGACAGCGAUGAUUUCAUGUUUAGAUGAGAGAAAAAAGGUCAAGUAUUAUUUUCAAUUUCAACAGUUUAUGAUUUUAUGGCUAGCUACAUGGAUUGAAAAGUAUAAUCCUGCUAAGUAGUAAUAUGCUGUAUACUCUUAAAUUCCUUCCCCAUCCUGAAUACAUGGCAGACAGAAACCAUCAUCUGUGGUAAAGAAAAAUUAUUCAGCUCACAUUAAAUAAAAAUCAUUUCACUAGAAUACCACAUGUGUAAUACCAUAUAUAUGUGUGUGAAUGUGUAACUACACAAACUUGUGAAUAUAGAUGCAAAACACAGUGUUACAUAAUUUUAUUAAAUAAUGCAAUGAAUUAUUGUAAAAAUAUCAGUGCUAUUCCUCCCUUUUAGGAAGUAUUUUUUAAUAUUUUAUUUGUUUGUUUGCUGUAUAGUAUAGGACCUUCCAAAGAAUGUUUAAUUCAAUUGGAAACUGAUUUAUGAGAUACAAAGUGGACUUUUAUAAAAAUAGAUCUGAGAUAUAAUACUUUACAGUGGACCACAGAAUUCACUGAUUUAAUACUUCAGGUUUGAACACUUCAAAAUAGACUAUGGGGGCCGAUGUCAUUUUGUGAUGUACAAUCUUGCUGAGUCGUGAAUGUAAAGGUCAGUAUGCGUAAAGUCACUUCACCAGGCAAAUGAGACUGCGCCACAAACACUCUGUCACGAUUCAGAUGAAUUCAGCCAAGAAUUUUCAAGUGUUUUUUUAAAAUUUGAAAUCAUUUAAGUAGUAUUUCUAAUAAGUCUCUGAAAGAUCAGUUAAACAAUUCGGCACUGCUUUCUUCCAUUUUAUGUGAAUAAUUUUAUGCCAUAUUUGCAAUCAUAAAUUUGAGAUUUCUUGA